GCUGUUCGGGUCUGUGGUUGCAAGUCCAGGCCAGGUACGGGCAAAAGGAUCCACGUAAGCUGUUCCGCGGAGUUCGGGCAGUGAUCAUGGCGUACCUUAGGAGUAAGUCCUCCGCAAAGCGGGCAAAGGCAAGUGUGGGGUCAAAGACCAGGUCAGCCGGACAGC
rnacentral:ncRNA from 12 species